GCUUAGCACGCAUGGUAGGAGAGCGUUCCGUAAGCCUGCGAAGGUGCCUUGUAAAGGGUGCUGGAGGUAUCGGAAGUGCGAAUGCUGACAUGAGUAGCGAUAAAGGGGGUGAAAGGCCCCCUCGCCGUAAGCCCAAGGUUUCCUACGCAACGUUCAUCGGCGUAGGGUGAGUCGGCCCCUAAGGCGAGGCAGAAAUGCGUAGCUGAUGGGAAGCAGGUCAAUAUUCCUGCACCAUUGUUAGAUGCGAUGGGGGGACGGAUCGCGGAAGGUUGUCCGGGUGUUGGAAGUCCCGGUCGCUGCAUUGGAGAAGGCGCUUAGGCAAAUCCGGGCGCGGAAUUCAAGGGUGUGGCGCGAGCUCCCUAGGGAGCGAAGCAAUUGGAAGUGGUUCCAAGAAAAGCCUCUAAGCUUCAGUCUAAUGAUGACCGUACCGCAAACCGACACAGGUGGGCGAGAUGAGUAUUCUAAGGCGCUUGAGAGAACUCGGGAGAAGGAACUCGGCAAAUUGGUACCGUAACUUCGGGAUAAGGUACGCCCUUGUAGCUUGACUGGCUUGCGCCAGGAGGGUGAAGGGGUUGCAAUAAACUGGUGGCUGCGACUGUUUAAUAAAAACACAGCACUCUGCAAACACGAAAGUGGACGUAUAGGGUGUGACGCCUGCCCGGUGCCGGAAGAUUAAAUGAUGGGGUGCAAGCUCUUGAUUGAAGUCCCGGUAAACGGCGGCCGUAACUAUAACGGUCCUAAGGUAGCGAAAUUCCUUGUCGGGUAAGUUCCGACCUGCACGAAUGGCGUAACGAUGGCCACACUGUCUCCUCCCGAGACUCAGCGAAGUUGAAGUGUUUGUGAUGAUGCAAUCUACCCGCGGCUAGACGGAAAGACCCCAUGAACCUUUACUGUAGCUUUGCAUUGGACUUUGAACCGAUCUGUGUAGGAUAGGUGGGAGGCUAUGAAACCGGAACGCUAGUUUCGGUGGAGCCGUCCUUGAAAUACCACCCUGGUUUGUUUGAGGUUCUAACCUUGGCCCGUGAUCCGGGUCGGGGACAGUGCAUGGUAGGCAGUUUGACUGGGGCGGUCUCCUCCCAAAGCGUAACGGAGGAGUACGAAGGUACGCUAGGUACGGUCGGAAAUCGUGCUGAUAGUGCAAUGGCAUAAGCGUGCUUAACUGCGAGACCGACAAGUCGAGCAGGUGCGAAAGCAGGUCAUAGUGAUCCGGUGGUUCUGUAUGGAAGGGCCAUCGCUCAACGGAUAAAAGGUACUCUGGGGAUAACAGGCUGAUACCGCCCAAGAGUUCAUAUCGACGGCGGUGUUUGGCACCUCGAUGUCGGCUCAUCUCAUCCUGGGGCUGUAGCCGGUCCCAAGGGUAUGGCUGUUCGCCAUUUAAAGAGGUACGUGAGCUGGGUUUAAAACGUCGUGAGACAGUUUGGUCCCUAUCUGCCGU
rnacentral:rRNA from 1 species